UCAAACGCACACACGGGUUAAGACAGUCAGGAAGUUCCCAUUCUGCCAGGAAGGUUGACAAAGGAGCUCAUGUAAGAAUAGAGCCAGUCAUAAGCGCUUGUGAACGAUACCUGCAGUGGACUAACAUUUGAACAAAAAGAUGCUGCGUUUACUCAUUCUGUUUUUGAUUCUUCAAGGCUCAGCUGCAACAUCAGAAGACACAGAAGGGAAUUCAUCAGGAGCUGACGGUGACGAUGAGGGUGGU